rnacentral:scRNA from 1 species
AGCCAAGCCUACAGUAGAGAAGCCAGGCAUCCUCUCCAGGGGAGAGGCACCUGGGCUGUCCUAGCCUCACGUUU